GUAGGUGGCAAGCGUUGUCCGGAAUUAUUGGGGCGUAAAGCGCGCGCAGGCGGUUCUUUAAGUCUGAUGUGAAAGCCCACGGGCUCAACCGUGGAGGGUCAUUGGAAACUGGAGAACUUGAGUACAGAAGAGGAAAGCGGAAUUCCACGUGUAGCGGUGAAAUGCGUAGAGAUGUGGAGGAACACCAGUGGCGAAGGCGGCUUUCUGGUCUGUAACUGACGCUGAGGCGCGAAAGCAUGGGGAGCAAACAGGAUUAGAUACCCUGGUAGUCCACGCCGUAAACGAUGAGUGCUAAGUGUUAGGGGGUUUCCGCCCCUUAGUGCUGCAGCUAACGCAUUAAGCACUCCGCCUGGGGAGUACGGCCGCAAGGCUG
rnacentral:rRNA from 1 species